UCGGGAUAGCUCAGCUGGU
rnacentral:tRNA from 3 species